UUAGUUUUGAUGCUAAAGGUGCAUCUACUUUAGGGCAGUCCCAGUGCAUUAUAUCUUAAUGUUGCUUCUACAACAAUCCUCAUUUAAUGUCUUUCCUGAGAGAAAAGUUAUUAAAAUAGUACAAUUACGAGUAGAAAAUUCAAUACAAAUCAAACCAUCAAGGGAGAAAAAAAAUGCCACAUACAAUCAGCAGUUAGUAAUAUAGUGACCGAGUGAAACUAUGAAUUCAAAGGGAUCGACUGAAAUUUCAAAGACAAAGAACGAUCUAAUAAUAUAAACUCUAACUGAUUGUCAGCAAUCAACCAGAGUCUUAGUGGCUACACCCAGUGGGUGCAUUGAUGGUGCCCUCACUGGAAAAAGUUUGUCACAUACAACUCAAAUGAUCUUAUAACCCGAGUGAAACCAUGAAUUUAAGAUAUUGGUUCUAGAUUUAAGAGUAAGGAAAUAAACUAACCUAUGAUUGCCAUCAAUCAGUCAGAGUCACUAUUGGAAUUUACUUGUUUGCCAAGUGCCAAAAACACUCGGCAAAAGGCAAAAAACACUAGGCAAUACUUUUGCCGAGUGUUGUACUCAGCAAAGGGCACUGCUGCUCCCGCCGCCGCCGCCACGAACUCCUUGCCCUCGCUACUGCUUAGUUGCUGUCGUCACCGCUGACGCUCGAGAAGAAAAUGUUGUGGCCGCUGACGCUCGGGCAGAGCAGCUCACGAAGAGGAGGCCAUGACCAUUGACGCAAGCCGGCCUCGAUGCUGCCGUGCGUUGGGUGAGCGCACUCGCUGUUGAUGUGCAUGCGUGAGGUUAGCUUGGUCGCCACGCUUGGUGUCGCCGUCGACGCACGGGGCAGCUCGCCGGUCGCCGGAGCGCUGCUGCUCGGGAGCGAAGGACGUGCCGAUGAGCUGCUCGGGCGGGCUGUGCUACUGCUGCUCGACGAAGGGUUGCACCACCAAGUUGCUGCGGUACAGCCCCAAGGCCGACGAGGGCUGAUGACGGCUAGCCGGAGCCGGCAGCCUCCUCCCCCGACCCAUGAGAGAGAGAGGCCGGAGAGAUAAGAGAGAGAGAUAGGACUGAGACGAGAGAGAUAAAAGUGAGACGAGUGGACGAGAGAGAUAUGGAGAACGUGCCCGCCACCUCAUCGAUCCAUGUGCUCUAAUGUUUAGCCAAUAGAAUGGAAGCAAAGUUGUGCUUCUUUGUGCGUUUUCUUUCCAUCUUUCUUUUGUAUUUUACACAUUCAUUUUUAAAUAAAAUUCAAGUUUAUUAUUUUUCCUCACAAAUAGUAUAUAUAGCGGGACUCCAUGCGAAAGGAUUGUAUUUUUUGAAGUUGUGUUCUUUUUCUUCUUUUUUUCCGAAACAGGGUCAAAAUGACCGACACGGCCAUUUGUGGCAAGGGGUUGAAUCUCUCAAAACUCUAAGUGGAUCUUUCAUAUAAUUAUUACUUGUUACCUAAAAAUAUUUUUUUGCUAGUUUUUAGGACAGAGCUAACACACACUUGCAGUUCAAAUUUGAAUUAAUUUUGAAAAAUCGACGUAAAGUCAUUUAAAUGUGCGAAAGUUGUUAGAAAUCUAGAUAAUCCACACAACUUGUGAAAUGUGCAUAAAAUAAGGUCUACUUACCAUGAAAAUUGAAGCGGUACCAUUUUGCACCCUGUUUUUUGUACCUGCUUCACAAAAAAAUACCCAUUUUUGACACUUAGAAAAUAAAAAUGUGGUUUUUUCUACAGAAAAGCUGGAAACUCUAGUUGGCAAGAUUGUUUGUAAUGAAGAGAUGCAACUAUGUGCCUAAUAUGGGAACAUUAUAAUAAACUAUGCAAUGAAUAUGACCACCAACUUGCUCAUUUGACUUCAAGCCAUGAAUGUUUCUAGACGAUAGCCCUUUUUGUGAAUGAUUUUCUUUUCAAAUUUGUCAUAUUCAAAUUUUGAUAUUUUUCCUUGCAACUAGUACACAUAAAAUGACAGCAUGCGAAAGGAUUGCAUUUUUUGAACCUGUAUUCAUUUUCUUUCAUUUUUUCCAAAAUAGGGUCAAAAUGGCCGGCAUGGUAAUUCAUGGAAGGGGGUUGAAUCUCUCAAAAAUAUAAGUGGUUCUCCCAUAUAAUGACUACUUGUGUGCCAAUUGUUUUUUUUGCUAAUUUUACGAUAGAGCUAUCACACACUUGUAGUUCUAAUUUGAAUUACUUCCAGAAAUCAACAUAAAGUAAUUUAAAUGUGCGAAAGUAGCUAAAAAAACUAGAAACUCCAUUAAACUGGGGAAUUGUGAAUAUAAUAUGGUCUACUUGCUACGACAAUUGGAGUUGUGCCAUUUUGCACCAUUUUUUUUGUACUUGCUUCACAACAAAUAACCAUUUUUUACUCUUAGAAAAAUGAAAAAUGUUUUCUUUUUACAAAAAAGUUGGAAACUCUAUUUGGCCACAUUGUUUGUAACUUCAAGAUGCACAUAUGUCCUAAUUCAGGAGCAUUAUAAUAAACUAUGCAAUGAAUAUGGUCAUCACCUUGGUCAUUUGAAAUGAAGGUCACCGAUGUUCAUACAUGAUAGCCUGUUUUGUGAAGGACUUUUUUUUUCAAAUUUGUCAUAUUGAAAGUUCGAUAUUUUUCCUCACAACUAGUACACAUAAAAGGAGUCCAUGCAAAAGGAUUGCAUUUUUUUGAACUUGUAUUCUUUUUCUUUCGUUUUCUCCAAAACGGGGUUUUCUCCAAAACGGGGUCAAAAUGGCCGGCAUGGCUAUUCAUUGCAAGGGGUUGAAUCUCUUAAAUCUCUAAGUGCUUCUCUGAUAUAAUGACUACUUGUGUAAUUUUUGCUAAUUUUUAGGACAGAGCUACCACACACUUGCAGUUCAAAUUUGAAUUACUUUCCGGAAACCAACGAAAAGACAUUUAAAUGUGCGAAAGUAGCUAGAGAUCUAGAAAAUCCACGCGACUUGGGAAUUAUGCAUAAAAUAUGCUCUACUUAUGGUGAAAAUUGAAGUGGUGCCAUUUUGCACCCUAUUUUUUGUACUUGCUUCACAAAAAUACCCAUUUUUGACACUUAGAAAAUGAAAAAAGAUUUAAUUGUACAGAAAGUUGAAAACUUAAUUUGGCAACAUUGUUUAUAAUGGAAAGAUACACACAUGUGUCUUGUUUGGGCACAAUAUGAUAAACUUUGCAAUGAAUAUGAUCAUCGCCUUAGUCAUCUGAGACUAAAUUUUUACAUGGCAAAAGUGUAAUUAAUAUGGCCUCAAAUGAAAAAGUUCUCAACAUGAGAAAUAUUCGUCUUGUCAAAAUGAACAACUUUUAUUUUUGGACCAUCUUCAUCCGAGGUCGUAUGCAACCUCCAUAGUCAAAACCAUGAAGCGUAGCGGAGACCACCUUUUGCCGAAUGUGACACUCGGUAAAGACCCCCUUUUCCCGAGUGUAGCACUCGGCAAAGACCCCCUUUGCCAGGUUUUGUUGUUUUACCGAGCAUUUUGUCCACCACACUAGGCAAAGUACCUGUUUGCCGAGUUUUGCUAUUUUGCCGAGUACUUUUUGAUAGGAACUCGGCAAAGAUACUAUUGCCGAGUGCCCGACAUAAUGCACUCGGCAAAGAACCUAACACCCGGCGUAUAAGAAAAUUCCAGUAGUGAGUCUCGGGGGCUACACCUAGUGACUGCAUUGAACGUGCCCCCACUGAAAGAAAACAUAUCAGACGCUACUCGGAUGGCAAGUCAAAAAGUUGAACGUACCACUGCAAAUGAUCGACACUUACUGUGGUACUUACUCGGAUAUGAGCUUUCAGAACCUCACUUGAAUUGAGUGCAUCCUUUAGCUUGGAGUUCAUCAGCUCGGCUUGAAUCAUGGUCUAUUUGCUGGCGCUAACCUUAUCCACGAGAGUACUUGCCAACGGAUACAGUACAUACGUAAUAGUGGGAGGCGUUCCAGGUCGGGGCUCCAUAACUGCCAAUGCACUCGGAGCGGCUUGUACAAUAUCGAUCGGCGGCGCUCGAACUCUUGCAUCCGACAGAAUUUCCGGAAUUUUGGGUACCUUGUCAUGAUCGGGAUCCAUCGCCACUGGACUUCACCUUGGAGUGGAGGGUCAACGACCAUUUGAACACGCUCUUCAGCGUUCUCCACAGUAAUCACUUGUUCAAUGGCUAGAAACAAUGCAAAGUAACAGUUCAUCAGUCCUUGCACUGUCUUUUCUAUUCGGAUGGUUGUAUACAAGAAAUAGAAUACCUUUCGAACUGACAACAUCAACAUUAGGUUGUCCUUUGCCUUUGCACGCGGUUUGUUCGGUAGCUUGGCUGUUAUGACUUGUAGAAGUGGCAACCCUACAUUAGAAAAGGACAUAAGAUGGUUAUAACAUCCGAAUGAUCAGCUACUUAUACUUAUUUGGAGAGGUGGCUGCAUAUGCAUCGCCCAGAUGUAGAGGCCGUAGGUCUUCCUCCUUUUCUAAAAAAAUACUUACUUGGAGACAACCGGAACGACCUUCUUUAUCUUAUAGCAAGGCUGGGCUGGCAACAACAGCUCGUCGGAGGGCCUUGGGAGAUCUCCAGCAGAGAAGUCCACAGAAGCCAAAUCAGGAGCUAUUGCAAUAUCAUCCUAGGACACUGCAGUAAUAUUGUUAGGAGACAGGUUCAUAUCAGUUAUCGAACCAAAACACACCAGUCCAUAUCAAUUAGUAGACAGGUUCAUGGAAUGAUUUGUAACCCUCCCUUUCAGUUGAACUAGACCUAGUUCGGCAUUAAAUAUGAGUGUCUACUGUCUAGUGAAUCCUCCCAGGAAACCAUGUCCGUUUGCAAGAAGCAAUUACGUAAUAAAAACAGAGAGCAUUUCCAACUUGAGGAGGCAUUUCCCAAGCUUCUCCGUUUGAAAGAAGCUGAGCCAAAACACAUCGGUCCAUACAUGACCCGCCCGGAGACAUCCAUAGAGAAGAUCACGAGGAACGACACUCACUCGUCACCAUCGAGAUGAGAAAAUUGUGCGCUAUUAACUGGCAUAAGAAUAAUGGAAAUUUAGGAACUGGGUGCAGCAGGCAGCAGCCUUCAAUUGGUACGAAAGUGGAGCGAGAGAGCUAGAUGUACAGAUAGUGCUACUGUAGAUUCUACCGACCACCGAACCUAACAGCACGCACUCAUUACUGCAAGGUCACCAUCCGAGAUCAACCAGAGAAUUGUUUGUGACAAACAGAUCAGCCAGAGGCGAAAGGGAAAAAUCGGUCCGGCUGUUCGUGAGCUCACCUUGGUCGCCGUCGUCCUUGUCUUUUCCGAGGUCGUUGACCUGGUCCUGACUGUGGCUGCUGCGGCCUGCGGCGGGGUGUGGAGGAGAACCCGGGCAGGGCGGCGGUAGGAAGAACCCUAGACUUCGAUCGCCUCGUCGCCAGGCAGACGGGCGAUGGGUAUUUGAGGCAGGGGGGACGCAUUAUCGAGUAUGAUCUCAUUGGCGACGACGAGUUGAAGUUCAAACUAGGGGUGCGGGGCACAUCUUCCAGGCUGCGUAUGCUCUGACUUGUGUCGUCCUCGCCCACCUUCCUUUUGUGGAGCACCAAGAUGGAAACGCUAGCCAGCACUAAGUGCUUCCAAUUAAUGACUAUCCGAUCCAGAUAUUUGCUUAACGCGGCACCGUUGGUCCCAGGAGUCAGGCUGCAAAAAAUAGAAAGGGAGAUAAACAAAUUAAAUGUAAUUUAAAAAGUAAAAAUAUGUUAACUGUGUAUACGGAAAGUGUAGUCAUAUGUAUAAAAAAUGUUUGUGACUAUUAUAAAAAGUCAUACAUUUUAAAAAGUGUACGUGACAUUCAAAAAAUGCUUAUACAAAUGUAGAAAACAUGUUCUUGUAUUUGAAAUGUAUGUCAUAUUUCAAACAAUGUUAAAUGUGUUAUGGAAAAUGUUAAUCUUGCAUUUAAAAUGUUUACUGUGUAUAAGAAAUUGUUUGUGAUAUAUAAAAAAAUGUACAAAUGUAAAUGUAAAAGGUAUAAAAUGUUAAUUGUGUACAAAGAAAAUGUUAAUCAUAUGUAAGAAAAAUGUUGGCGGCAAUUAAAAAAGUCCCAUAUUUCAAAAAGAUGUACGUCACAUAUUGUAAAAUUUGAAAUGUUUCAAAAAUGUGUUUGUGUCAUUUUCAGAAAAUGUCUGUACUUUAUACAUAAAUUUGUCCAUAGUUCAAAAAAUGUCUGUCAUUUCAAAAAUGUUUUAACACAUAUUUGAAAAUAUAUUUAAAACAUGUUUUGUAAAAUGUUAAACAUGUAUACAAUUAUAUUUUAUAUGUAUACGAAAUAUACAAUGUGUUGAAAAGCUCUCAUUUGACGUAUACAUCUAUACAAAUAUAUUUUAUACUUUUAGAUAUAGUUCUUUCAAUUGGUUGUAUCUUUUCUUUGUAUCUUGAAAAGCUCUCAUUUAACGUAUUUCUCAAAACAGGCUUUCGCCCUGCCUUAUAUAUAAAGCAACAACCAAUUCCAGGCCGAUGCAGAACGCACGCGAUUGCGCUACCGAAAGAGAAUACAUGAAGAACUGAACACAACACCACGCUAUGCCAUGGUACACCUAACCUCGACGACAACGCCCUUGGGAGGGAGAAGGACGCAAUGCGUCGCCGCUGCCGAGUCCACUGCGAACAAAUGUCUUCACCUGGAGCCUUGACAUGAAGAGAAGAACCACAAUGACGUCUUCAAGAAGAGAGAGCCACCCGCGGCCGUCACCAUCGUCGGCACCAAGGCACAGAGCUUUCUCUCGUCAACUCACCUGUGCCACCACAAUAUCUCUAGGACAAGCAUGACGAGAACAGAAUCCUAGAUCCAUAUCAAAGCAUUGCCCCUACGAAACAAAGAGCACGCCCGAGCCACCCGUCGCUACACCUCCUAUUGCCCAUACGACCCAGAAGGAGAGACAACACCCUCGCGAGUUUACUUGCCGCAGAGCAAACUAUGCGGACUGCCAUCUGGGGUCACUGCCCUGGCAUCCUGUCGCAAGACAUCGUACACCGCACACUUCACAACACACUCAACCGCGGUAGGAAGAGCAGAGGCACGCCAUCUACUCUCUUACCGGCAUCAGCCACCGAGUCUAGAUUAGCGUCUCCACCAUAGGAUGUGCCCAUGGCUGCAUCCCCAGCCAUUCCUGGUGAACAGCUGGGGAAUGACCCUUUGGCUGCCGACUUCUGUUGGUGAACAAGCCCCAAGCCCUGGCCUAGGUGAGCUCGCGGAGCGCCCAUGAUUGUGGCCAUCGAUGUCGAUCCGCACGUUGACACAAUGCUAUUGCGACCCACACCAUCGACCACCACACCCACGAGAAGAUCACGAGCACCUCCUGGUAGCACCAUCUGGACCAAACCCAACAUAAACCUACCCAGAGCACAAGCUCUGAUCUGCCUCGGGCCUAGAUCUAGUCCACUUGAGGACAAACCCUAGGUCGUAGCCACCAUGAUGAGCACAAAACGCACGCCACCGACCUAUAACCUAGAGAAGGGACGUCGCACCCGCCACACGCACCCCGCCGCCGAAUGCCAAAUGUGUUGCGCCCAUGUCGACGACCCAUGCAACCCACGCGAGCUAACACCACCGCGCUGACCUGAAGCACCGGGGAGACACAGCCGGAGCCAACACCUGCCACCGGAGGCAAGCCCCAGCCAGCGACCACCACCGCGGCCAGUGGGGAGCCCACGACACUCGAGGCGCUGGUAGCCAGAUCCGGCCACACCAGAUCGAGCCACCAUGGCCACCACGGCCGGGUAACGGACAACCCACCACGAUUCCACCAGGAGUCAUCGCGGGCGCCCGCGGCACGGGUGAGACCCUUCCACCGACGACCAUGGCCAAGCCGCCACCUACUGGAGAUGCCCGCACGCAAUAGACCCGCCAACCAUGGGGAGAGGAGAUUUUUGCCGCCGUCGAUGACGACUAGGCUUUGCCCGGCGGAGGCAAUGAGAAGGGAGAGGAGGAGCCCUUGCCGGCAGCUAGGGUUGGCCGGCCCUGGCCACCCACGGGAGCGACGAGGGUGCGUGUGCGGGGCAGGUGGGGCGACCAAUCAUAGCUGUUUGACCGACCCCUAUUUAGCUCAAUCCAUCAUGUACUCAUUUAAUGUAUUUUGUUAGAGUAAAGUAUGAUUCAUUUUAGUUUUGACCCUAAGAGGUACCUGUACCUUACGGCAGUCCCGGUGCAAUAUAUCUUAGUGUUGUAUCUACAACCACCCUCAUUUAAUGUCUUUCUGGAGCGAAAAGUUCUCAAAAUAAUACAAUUACGAGUAGCAAAAUUCAAUACAAAUCAUAACAGCGAGGGAGAAAAAACGCCACAGCUUGCGUAAAACAGGAAAACAAGCCUGCGUAAAACAGGAAAACAAGCCUACGCACAAAGCCUGUUACUGGACCGCCAUAAAAACCGGUUGUAAGAUUCUCAUCCGACCAUCUCCCAACUAUUGCACCCAUAUGUCAUAUUGUCUCACACUAUCGCAGCUUGCAGUAAGGUCCACAUACAAAUCCACCAUGUACUCUUAAAAAUGACCUUAAAGAACAGUGAUCUUCAUUCUGUUUGAGAAAGUUUCAUUAUAAUAAUUUCACAAAGCCCAAUGCAAAGAGCACACCCAACCGGAUAUGUUGGGGGCCAAUAAAAAAUAGUGUCCCGACUAGGGGGCCUCUCACCAUGUCGACUCUCGGCCCGGUGGGUUGGGCUACGGAUCCCCUUUGUCAGUUUUGUCCUAAGCCACUUCGGGCAGCCCAUAACGAUUCCAAAGAAGAUCCAGAAUACAUGGCAGAUACUCCAAGACGCUAGAUUUGUGGAGAACUCUAUCACCACGUGUGUAGCUGACUAGUAUCAUGUACUCUAGGACUCUCUGGUACAUAUAUAAACCGAGGGGCCGAGCUCAUAGAAAUAAUACUUCCCAUUGUCCAAAGACAUCUAGCUUAGUAUGCCCUACCUCGAGAUCUGCCGGUUUUAGGUUUCGUCAAAGGUGGCCCAUAUAGGUCCUGCUAGGUGAUCAUCACGAAUCGAUAGGAGUGAAGAUCAACGCUUAGAAUGGUGCCAACACAAUAUUUAUGCUGGGCCGGAUGUUCGCCUUCGGUAGCGUCACCCUCAUCUCCAACUAGGCUGGCCACCUCGGCCAGGUUGAAUCUUUUGCUGCAGAUCGGAUCAUGCGGCUUUGCAGCAUGGAGUAUACCGCGGAUAUACACUGAGAGGUGAUCUUCUUAAGUUUAGUUUCGCACCAGGUCGAGGAACAAGACGAGUAGCUUCCCUUGGCUCUCAUGUGAGAUCUAGCCGAGGAGGAGUGUGAGAAUCUUGUUCUAGGAUCAGUGUCAAAUCGGGUCACGAAGAAACUUACCCUAGUCUUGUUGUCACGUCAGACCUUGGCAGAUAUGAGAAGCCUUUGUCGGGAACCACCUCAGGUCGGAUCACGAAGCCACUCUCCUCGGGCACGCUUUUUAUAUUAGAUCCAACCUGAUUAGAAGAAACUGUAUAUUUCAUGAAAUCUUAGAGGGGGUAGCAUAGGAAUAGUUGGCAAAUGCAGCCCGAUUAGAAGAUCUUGACCAAUGACGUAGAUGUUGAUCCUGAUCCCGACUUCUAGCUGGUAUGCCUUGGCCAAUCUUCGACGGCAACCCAAAAAAGUUUGAUAAGUUUCAUUUUUUAUUAAAACCGAGAAAUUGAAGUGCUCUUCCAUUUGAAGGAUGGACUCAAUUAUGGUUGGCUGAUCUAGUACUCGAACUUGUAGCAUCUCAAGGUUCUCAAUCCUUGCAAAGCAAGGAAUGAUCUUAACAAAAUAAAAGGUGGUAUCAGACAUUUGUUAGGAUCAUGUAAGAAGCCAACAGGUUAUGAAAUCAUCUAUUAUUCCUACUAAGUGCAGGAAAUCAUCUCGAGAUGUCACAUAUAGUGGUGAACAUAAAACUAAAAAUAAAAUACAACGUUGUAGCAACAAUACAAUUAGCAACUCAUGAUCAUGUACCGGUUAAAAAACACAUGAUAGUGUUUCCACCAUGUAUUGGAGAUAUAUCAAGAAUUGUAAAUCAGACACUUACAAUAUCAGGAAGUUCUUUCUCAUCCAGGUCUUCUUUUUCGUUUUAAUAAAACACCUGUAAUCACCCGACCGGCGUUAGUAUCGGCAUUUUACCAUCCUUGCGUUCUACUGAACACUAGUUCUAUCUAUACGAUCAUAAUUCGUAACUAGCAAAAUCUGAGAAGCUACAGAAAUAGAAGGAUUAGACUUAUUGACAGUGAUGAAACCCUUUUACAGUACAUGACCAAAUGACACAAGGUAGUGAGGAAGCCCUUUUACAGAAGAAUAUCCCAACAUAACCGGACAACACAAAUUGCCCUGCAAACGCCAAAACAAAAAUCAAAAUGACUACAUUGCCGAAAUACGACACAGGAAAGCCCGAAGAAUCAACACGACUCGCACUAGGACAUCUAAACUCCACAAUAAUGCCAUCAGGAGGGAACACGACGACAAGCGUCGUCGAUUUUGAGUCCGAGGUGGGCAAGGGUUUUCACCUGGAACCCUGACAUGAGGAGAAUCAUGAUAACGUUCUAAGUAGGAGAGUGUCACCCACAUGUGUCGCCGUCAAUAGCACCAAAGUGCAGAGCUGUCGCUCGACAGCUCGCCCAUGCCAGCAUAGGGCUCUCAGGACAACUGCGAAGAGAAAAACCUCCAAAUCCAGAUUUGGGCAUCGCCACUUCACUAGAGGAGAACGAGUUUGAGCCUCCCAUUGCUACACUGCUCACCGUCCACACGACCAAGGAACAUAACCGCCACCGCCACCAUGGUGCUCGCUGAAGAGCCCUCGAUGUGACCAACACCCGGGGCCGCCGCACCGGCAUGCAAGGGCCUGAUUCCAUCCCACUUAAAUCCUGCAGCCUCAACAUACUGAAGGGGCAGACGGGAAGGUCACUCCUUCCCCACCCCUGGGCAUCCCCCAAGCCCAUGCCCGAGCCCCGACCAUAGGCAAAUCAGUACACCCUGCCCAACCCUACCUUGGUGGGCAAAGGGCAAUCCCCUAGCAUAGGGAAGGGGAUGGAUCUACGGCCCGGUGGCGGCAGAUCCACAUCCUUGGCGAUGGUCCAAACAUGGGAGGUGGCCAGCCCUACGACCUGGUCCAUGCAGAUCCGAUUAGGAUUGGAGGGAAGCCUGACUCAGACGACGUCACAAACAGAGAGGGACGGAGGGGAUGGCUGCCACAGAGCCAUAGCACCACCGGACAGAAGCAUCCCUGAGACAGCCAUCCACAAGCGCCAUCAACCACCAGCAUCCGGAAACCAAACGACGAGGCCGAGCUCAAACGCAAGCAGAACCAGCCCUCACCACAGCCGCGUCGUCUGCUACUCACUUGAGAUUAGAUUUGGGAGGGCCUAGACCUAGCAGCCGCCACCACCCGGACACGCCCCUCGGCAACUGCUCGCCCCCACACUGCCGCAGCACACCUGCGCAGUUGCCGCCGUACCACACACCAGGUGUCGUUGCCGCCCCGCGCCGCCGCGCACUGUGCUUCCACCGAGAAGAGAGGCCCCGUGCCACCGUAGACCCGUGUGCAAGGGGGAGGCAGUUCCGCCGGCGCUAGCGCCUCACAGGCUUUGCAUGACAGACGCCCUCUGGCAGAGGCGAGGCGAGGGGGAGGAAGGAGAAGGGCCUUGGCCGGCAGCAGCGCUAGGGUUUCCGUUUGCGCACCCAGGGUGCGUCGCGGGAAAGGGAAUGGGUUCGGUCAGCAGUUUACAAAUGUUUGCCCCCACUGUCCCUGAUUUUAAUUUCAGGCGAGAGGUAUGAAUUAAGAAAUGUCUACAUACCAGUUCCAGUGUUACGCCUUGAUCAGCUUAGCCAUCUCUCCUACAUACUUCCUCCGUUUUAAAAUAGAUGACUCAACUUUGUACUAACUUUAAUACAAAGUUAGUAUAAAGUUGGGUCAUCUAUUUUGAAAAUGGAGGGAGUACUUAUUAUAGAAAAUAAACUGAGUAUUCCUCCGCAGUACAAGCAAGUAAAUGAGCCACGCGGAAAUCCGUUGGUGCUCCCAGGAGCGCGCGCUCCUGCAUGCGAAGAAAAUGUUUCAAAGCGUGAAAAAUUUCCAAACAAAAUUUUGCGCAUACAUCUCGACAUUAUAUGUGUGCACGCAAGGUUUUGGAGGAAACCGGCAUUUUUUAUGGCUUGUGUAAAAAAGACAAAAGGAUGUCUUGUGAAAAUUAUUUUUAAACAUCAAAUUUUGUCUUUUUCACAUGCAACACAUAAGUUGUCGGUUUUUCGCAAAACAACUUUAUGAGCAUGUACAAUAUCGAGAUGUACGCACCAAGUUUUUGUUUGAAUUUUUUUGACAUUUCAGAAUUUGUUUAAAACACAUUUUAAGAAUCAGGAGCGUGCGCUCCCAUGUGCCAAAACGCCACUCUCAUGAGCCACGGGAUUACUUUCCCGAAGAUAACGAUCAAAUGAAAUACUAGUAAAAUUACGAGCUAAAAAUGUACACUCUUCAUACUUAGCAGCAGUUGGACCAAUUGAACGUGGAGGCAUCUUUCAAGUCUAGGACUUUUUUGCAGACAUCAAGCUAUGGACGACGGAACCGGCUAUCUGCUAUAACACGAUUUAUUUGCCUCUAUUUCGAGUAUUAAUUAUACCAUACUUGUCGUCAACCCGUGCAAACGUACGGACUAGGACUUUUGCAUAAAUGAUACAUUAUAGUAAAUUGUGUUGAAUUUUAUUUCUUACAUAAAAUUAGAACUUCACUCAAAUAUGUUUUUCUUCCAUUGCUUAUCUUUAGGACAAAGAAACUAUAUUCCACCUCAUUGUACUCUUUAUGUACUAUGUUAUGGAGUAGUAAUCAUUAAGGGGUAUAGAAUAUUGGGAUGACAUCAGCAGGAUAUCUCUUUCAGUACAUAAAAAGGGGAAGGAAACAAAGAGAGACGCAAGCCAUAUUUUAAAUGAGCUGGAACUUCGAGUUUCCCCAAUUCUACUCAAAUAACUGAAAAUAUUGGAUCCAACGAUACCACAUUUCUUGAAAUCGGAAAUCACACCACACUCCCCAUCUGAAAUUAAUUGCAUCAAGAUAUUUGUACCCAUAAAAUAAAUAUACAGGAACAAUAAUGCAUACAGAAAAUUCCAUACUCAAAUCUUUCAUUGUUAACAUAACGUUAUGGGAGAAAAUUUGAGUGACUGCAAAAAGCUCUGUUAUAUUCUCACAAUUGUAAGUAUGUAUCUUCAAGAACUGGACACCAACCAUGCUCAAGUUUUUGUUCCAGUCAGACAUUCCAUUAGUAACAAAUAGUUAGGUAAAAAUGUAAUACGAGGACACUUAAUACUAUUUGUAGCAAGAUCACUAACAGGUGCACCAAAUGGACAAACAGUUAUGUCCACGGAUCAGAAUGACUUCUCAUAUAGAAAUAUGAAGACUAUAAAUGUAGCACACUAACAGUACGAAAGUGCACUAUAAGAAGUUGGAUGUUACAAAAAUAUGUCACCUUUUGUUUGUGUUAAUUUACUAAAUGUGUCAAAUAUACUUGAAUAAAUGAAUUAGAUCUGCAAAACUUCUACAUUUUUCAAAUGGAAAAAUUAAGAAAAUAGUAUGAUGACACGUUCAUAUUAACACAUAAAACAUGAAGUUGACUACUACCAAAGAUAGAAGGUUUGUCUUAUAAGCUCGCCUCUUGGAACAAAUAGAAUGUUGACUUACAGAAGAUAAGACGUUUUAGCAAUGACAUGUGAUUUAGAUUUUUGCGAGAAAGGACUUACAAUAACAUCCAAUGAUUGAAAUGAUCUUGUAAUUAAUACACACUAUAGUUAAUAAGGGUGUCAUUUUUGGAAUAAUAUACCACCAACAAUGUGCCAAAAGCAUUGUGGUUUACUUGCAUCUUCUAGAAAGAACCUUUUUCCCUUUUAUAGAAUCACAAUAGAUUUUAACAAAGAUAUGAAACAGUUGAUUUGGAUAUGCUGAACUAGGAAGAGAAAUUUAUGAAGAGAGCGAUGGUUAUUACUAAUGGGACCAUAUAGAGUAUUGUUUUGAAACUCGAUUCACUUAGUACACAUUCCAGACCACCAAGCUUAUUGUGCUGAGAUAAUUUUCCUUGAAAAACAUUAAAAGUGCCUCAUGGAAGCAACAUAUGAAAAGGAUCAUUAUGAUCCCCAUUUCUCUCUACAUGUAAGAGUUUGGGGAUCUCAAAACAAAAUAGGUAAGGAGAAUCAUAUAUAAAAAUAACCAAACACAUGUUUUGCUAUUACUUUGAGUUAUUGAGUCAGGAGCCUUACCUUUGUAUAUCUGUUGUUCGCACAUUAACAAAACAUGAUAAAAAAAAUUUAAGUGCGCAUACAACAAAACAUCCCUGGAAAUCAUUCCAAGAAUUUGUUUUUUCAGAGAAAAUUAUCUAAUUAGUAUUCAGCAUGCCUUCUAAAAAUAAUAGAUAUGAAACAACAUGUCAUCCGUUUCUUUAUGCUCCUCAAACUCUAUUAUAGAAAACGAUAAGUUAACCCAUCAUAACUUGGAAGAAAUAUUUAUCUCAUGUCUCAAACUCUCAGCUAUAUCCUGUUUUGAACUUUGGUUGAUCACCAUCGAACAGACCUGUUAUAAUGUCUUUGGUAAACACAUUUUUUAAGCGUAAUGGUAAAGAGCAAUCUGGACCUCCUUUUUCAUGCAUCUAUCAUUGAAUCGGAUUCUGCUAUCAGUAACAACAGCAAAGCACGUUUAUAAUUUGAUAAAGUUCUUAUUUGAGGUCUCUGACUCUCGGCUAUAUCAGAAUCAGAAUAAGAUAAAAGCAACAUCAUAACAGAGCAGAAAUUUCCCCUUCUGUGUCCUAAUUAGAGAAACCUUGCUCAAAUCUCAUAUCCUACGGUAAAUGCAAUCAGUAGCAUCAUAAUAUACUCAUACGUGUGCAAAAUAAUAAAUCCCUAUUAUCUGUUUAAUUCCCAGAGAAGGCAAAUAUUGGAUGAUGAAGACCAACAGUUUGGAAACAUAGGUUGUGACAUCCAGAAUGAAGCACCACAAAGACAUGGGAUUGAGGAAGAAGAGAGGCCCUAGUUGCCGCUGGUACAUCACUCUAGUUGGGAUGUAUCGACAGAUGACAUGGUGCACGGAAAAAAUUAUCAGAGCUGGAUUUAGGUGCCAUCAGAUGGUGUAAUUAUUGCCUUAAUGGCUGCUAGAUGGGAUUCCUUGAAAAUUAAGGUGGACGCUUGGACAAAGCCUCUGGUUUGCAAAUAUAAAUAUAAGAUAUAUGAACUAAGCGUGCAAGGUAAGUCCUGGCAAUUACCAUGGAAGGAUUGGAGAGCGAAGAGAAUUUAAAUUAAAAAAACACCUGAUAUGGCAUGAUGCUUACAUCCAAAGUACUUAUAGAUGUAGAAAGUAUCUACAUCUCUUUAUUUGUGACAGAACGUAAUCUGUUUAACUCUGGCUCAUAUCUUUGGCGUACACUUUCAAUGGAAAAAUAAAUAUGUAAUCACUUAAAAUAGAGAAGAGCCAAAAACUUAUAGCUUAUCUAAUUGCAAUACAUUGUUAAAUUGUAGUUUGAAAAUAAAGCACUAAGUUUGGCUCAGCCAUGAAAACCAAAUCAAAUCGUAGUAUAAUCAUAAAGGGUAAAUAAAAUAGUUCUUAUAUUAAAGUAAGAAAAUAUGGGUAUCUCUACAAUUAGUGUAUUUUCUAAAGAUGCAUGCUUUAAUAAUCACUGUAUGUACCUACCUCAUGAACCCAAAGUCCACACUUUGCACUUUCCUUUUGUGGAGCGUCAAGAUCGAAUGGCUGGCCAGCACUAAUUGCUCUCAAUUAAUGACUAUCCAUCCCAGAUAUUUGCUUAACACGGCAGAAUUGGUCUCAGUACUCAGGACGCAAAAAACAAAAAGGAAGAUAAAAAAAAGUAUAAAUGUAAUUUAAAAAGUAGAAAUAUGUUAAUUGUGUAUAGGAAAAAUGUUAGUCAUAUAUAUAAAAAAAGUUUGUGACAAUUAAAAAAAGUCAUCCAUUUUUAAAAAAUGUACAUGACAUUCAAAAAAUGCCUAUACAAAUACUGAAAAAAUGUUUAUGUAUUUAAAAUGUAUGUCACAUUUAAAACAACUUGUAAAUGCGCACGUGCAAUGCACUUUAAUAUUUGGGCAAUAUAUUAAUUGCACGUGUUGCAUGUUAAUAUUUAGGCAAUAUAUUAAUUGCACUCUGAUAUUAGGUAUGUUAUUCUCUGUGUGCUAAUUCUGUGAUUAGUGCAAUAUUUGGUAUGAUAUUAAUUGCACGUUAAACACGUUGAAUGCUCGCCAUUGGAGCAGUCUAGGUCCUUGGAUUGACUUAGUUUGAUGGCCGAGAUCAGUUGAAUCUGCCUCUUUGGGUCUUUUUAUAUUGGUAUAGAUGCAAGGUCACCAUCCGAGGUCAACCAGAGAAUCGUUUGUGACAAACAGAUCAGCCAGAGGCGAAGGGGAAAAAUUGAUCUGGCACGUCAGCUCACCUUGGACCUCGUCGUCCUUGUCGCUCCUGAGUUCGUUAACCUGGUCCUGGCCGCGGCUGCUGUGGGAGGACGCAGAGGAGAACUCGGGCAAGAAGGAGGUAGGGAGAACCCUGGAUUUAUAUCGCCUCAUCGCAAGGCAGACAAGCAAUGGGGAGUUGAGGCUAGUGGGGACGCAUUAUCGAGUAUGAUCUCAUUGGCGACGGCGGGUUGGAGUUCAGACUGGGGUGGGGGACGCAUCUGCCAGGCUGCGUAUGCGUUGACUUGUGUCGUCUUCGCCCACCUUCCUUUUGUGGAGCGUCGAGAUGGAAUCGCUGGCCAUCACUAAUUGCUCUCAAUUGAUGGCUAUCCAUCCCAGAUAUUUUCUUAACGCGGCAGAAUUGGUCUCAGGAGUCAGAGCGCGAAAAACAAAAAGGGAGAUACAAAAAAAUUAUAAAUGUAAUUUAAAAAGUAGAAAUAUGUUAAUUGUGUAUAGGAAAAAUGUAGUCAUAUGUAUAAAGAAAGUUUGUGACAAUUAGAAAAAGUCAUACAUUUUUAAAAAAUGUACAUGACAUUCAAAAAAUGCUUAUACAAAUGUAGAAAAAAUGUUUGUGUAUUUAAAAUGUAUGUCACAUUUAAAACAACUAGUAAAUGCGCACGUGCAAUGCGCGUCAAUAUUAGGCAAUAUAUUAAUUGCACACGGAUAUUAGGUAUGCUAUUAUUUUUAUGUUAAUUAUGUGAUUAGUGCAAUAUUCGGUAUGAUAUUAAUUCCACGUUAAACAUGUUGAAUGCUUGCCAUUGGAGCAGUCUACGUCGUUGGAUUGACUUAGUUUGAUCACCGAGAUUAGUUGGAUCUGCCUCUUUGGGUCUUUUUAUAUUGGUAUAGAUGCAAGGUCACCAUCCGAGAUCAACCAGAGAAUCGUUUGUGACAAAUAGAUCACACAGAGGCGAAUGGGAAAAUUCGGUCUGGCUCGUGAGCUCACCUUGGUCGUCGUCGCCCUUGUCGCUCCCGAGGUCGUUAACCUGGUCCUGGCGGCGGCUGCUGUGGCAGGACACAGAGGAGAACCCGGGCGGGAAGGAGGUAGGGAGAACCCUGGAUUUAGGUCGCCUCAUCGCAAGGCAGACGGCCUAUGCGGAGUUGAGGCUGGUGAGGACGCAUUAUCGAGUAUGAUCUCAUUGGCGACAGCGAGUUGGAGUUUAGACUGGGGUGGGGGACGCAUCUGCCAGGCUGUGUAUGCGUUGACUUGUGUAGUCCUCGCUCACCUUCCUUUUGUGGAGCGUCAAGAUGGAAUCGCUGGCCAUCACUAAUUGCUCUCAAUUAAUGGCUAUCCAUCCCAGAUAUUUUCUUAACGCGACAAAAUUGGUCUUGGGAGUCAGGGCAUAAAAAUAAAAAGCGAGAUACAAAAAAAUUAUAAAUGUAAUUUAAAAAGUAGAAAUAUGAUAAUUGUGUAUAGGAAAAAUGUUAGUCAUAUGUAUAAAAAAAAGUUUGUGAUAAUUAAAAAAAGUCAUACAUUUUUAAAAAAUGUACAUGACAUUCAAAAAAUGCUUAUACAAAUGUAGAGAAAAUGUUUGUGUAUUUAAAAUGUAUGUCAUAUUUAAAACAAGUAGUAAAUGCGCACGUGCAAUGCACGUUAAUAUUUAGGCAAUAUAUUAAUUGCACGUGUUGCACGUUAAUAUUUAGGCAAUAUAUUAAUUGCACACGUAUAUUAGGUAUGCUAUUAUUUUUAUGUUAAUUCAAUAAUUAGUGCAAUAUUUGGUAUGAUAUUAAUUUCACGUUAAACACGUUGAAUGCUUGCCAUUGGAGCAGUCUAGGUCAUUGGAUUGACUUAGUUUAAUGGCCGAGAUCGGUUGGAUCUGUCUCUUUGGGUCUUUUUAUAUUUGUAUAGAUGCAAGGUCACCAUCCGAGAUCAACCAGAGAAUCGUUUGUGACAAAUAGAUCAGACAGAGGCUAAGGGGGAAAAUCGGUCUGUCUCGUGAGCUCACCUUGGUCGCCGUCGUCCUUGUCGCUCCCGAGGUCGUUAACCUGGUCCUGGCCACGGCGGCUGUGGCAGGACGCAAAGGAGAACCCGGGCUGGGCAGCAGUAGGGAGAACCCUGGAUUUAGAUCGCCUCAUCAGGCAGACGGGCUAUGGGGAGUUGAGGCUGGGGGACGCAUUAUCGAGUAUGAUCUCAUUGGCGACGGCGAGUUGGAGUUCAGACUAGGGUGGGGGACACAUGUGUCUGGCUGCGUAUGUGUUGACUUGUGUCGUCCUCGCCCACCUUCCUUUUGUGGAGCGUCAAGAUUGAAUCGCUGGCCAACAUUAAUUGCUCUAAAUUAAUGACUAUCCAUCCCAGAUAUUUGCUUAACGCGACAUAAUUGGUCUCUCGAGUCAGGACACAAAAAAAAAGGGAGAUCAAAAAAUUAUAAAUGUAAUUUAAAAAGUAGAAAUAUGUUAAUUGUGUAUAGGAAAAAUGUUAGUCAUCUGUAUAAAAAAGUUUGUGACAAUUAAAAAAAGUCAUACAUUUUUAAAAAAUGUACAUGACAUUCAAAAAAUGCUUAUACAUAUGUAGAAAAAAUGUUUGUGUAUUUAAAAUGUAUGUCACAUUUAAAACAACUAGUAAAUGUGCACGUGCAAUGCACGUUAAUAUUUAGGCAAUAUAUUAAUUGCACGUGUUGCAUGUUAAUAUUUAGGAAAUAUAUUAAUUGCACGCGGAUAUUAAGUAUGCUAUUAUUUGUGUUUUAAUUCUGUGAUUAGUGCAAUAUUUGGUAUGAUAUUAAUUGCACGUUAAACACGUAGAAUGCUUGCCAUUGGAGCAGUCUAGGUCGUUGGAUUGACUUAGUUUGAUGGCCGAGAUCAGUUGGAUCUGCCUCUUUGAGUCUUUUUAUAUUGGUAUAGAUGCAAGGUUACCAUCCGAGAUCAACCAGAGAAUCGUUUGUGACAAACGAUCAGCCAGAGGCGAAGGGAAAAAAUCGGUCUGGCUCGUGAGCUCACCUUGGUUGAAGUCGUCCUUGUCGCUCCCGAGGUCGUUAACCUGGUCCUGGCCGCGGCUGCUGUGGCAGGACGCAGAAGAGAACCCGGGCGGGGCGGCGGUAGGGAGAACCCUGGAUUUAGAUCGCCUCAUCGCAAGGCAGACAUGCUAUGGGGAGUUGAGGCUGGGGGGAGGGGGAGGGACACAUUAUCGAGUAUGAUCUCAUUGGCGACAGCGAGUUGGAGUUCAGACUAGGGUGGGGGACGCAUCUGCCAGGCUGCGUAUGCGUUGACUUGUGUCGUCCUCGCUCACCUUCCUUUUGUGGAGCGUCAAGAUGGAAUCGCUGGCCAGCAGUAAUUGCUCUCAGUUAAUGACUAUCCAUCGAAGAUAUUUGCUUAACGCGGCAGAAUUGUUCUCAGGAGUCAGGACACAAAAAAUUAAAAAGGGAGAUACAAAAAAUUUAUAAAUGUAAUUUAAAAAGUAGAAAUAUGCUAAUUGUGUAUAGCAAAAAAUUUAGUCAUAUGUUUAAAAAAAGUUUGUGACAAUUAAAAAAAGUCAUACAUUUUUAAAAAAUGUACAUGACAUUCAAAAAAUGCUUAUACAAAUGUAGAAAAAAUGUUUGUGUAUUGAAAAUGUAUGUCACAUUUAAAACAACAAGUAAAUGCACAAGUGCAACGCACCUUAAUAUUUAGACAAUAUAUUAAUUGCACAUGUUGCAUGUUAUUAUUUAGGCAAUAUAUUAAUUGCACGCGGGUAUCAGGUAUGCUAUAAUUUGUGUGUUAAUUUUGUGAUUAGUGCAAUAUUUGGUAUGCUAUUAAUUGCAUGUUAAAUACGUUGAAUGCUCGCUAUUGGAGCAGUCUAGUUCGUUGGAUUGACUUAGUUUGAUGGCCGAGAUCAGUCGGAUCUGUCUCUUUGGGUCUUUUUAUAUUGGUAUAGAUAUAGAUAUAGAUGUUAAAUAUGUUAUGAAAAAUGUUAAUCUUGCAUUUAUAAUGUUUACUGUGUAUAGAAAAAUGUUUGUGAUCUAUAAAAAAUGUACAAAUGUAAAUGCAGAAGGUAGAAAAUGUUAAUUGUGUACAAGAAAAAUAUUAAUCAUAUGUAAGAAAAAUGUUUGUGGCAAUUAAGAGAAGUCCCAUAUUUCAAAAAAAUGGACGUCACACUUUACAAAAUUUGAAAUGUUUCAAAAAUAUGUUUGUGACAUUUUCAGAAAAUGUUUGUACGCAUUAUCGAGUAUGAUCUGAUUGGGGAGGAUGAGCGGGGGGGCUAAACCUGGGCAAACGCCGGGCGGGGCCGGGUUUCGGGCAGGGCUUGUAAAAGCCCAACCUUCAUUUCUCAAGCCCGAGCCCGGCCCGAAGCCCGAAAUAGUCAUUGUUUUCAAGCCCGAGCCCGGCCCGAAAUGAAGCCCGAAGCCCGAAAGCCCGACCCGAACGCUAUUUUUCAGUGUACGCACGUGCAAGCCCGACCCGAAGCCCCAAAGCCCAGCCCGAAAUACAUGAAUAGUGAAGCCCGAGCCCGGCUCGAACUAUCUUCCGGGCUGCAAAACAAGACCCGGGCCCGGCCCGAACAUCAAGCCCGACCCGGCCCGGCCCGGGUUUUUCGGGCCGGGCUCCGGCCGGGUCGUCGGGCCGGGCUGUCCAUGCCCGGGUUUAGCAGGGGCUGUUUACGUGGGAUUUUAUAGAAAAAUACACAUAUGAGAUUUCAACAUUUUGACCAGGCAAAUAAUUUAUUUAAAAUUCGAAAAAAUGCCAUGCGCCAAGCCUGGGCAUGAUGAUUUUUGGUCUGGCGUUUAUAGACCCUGCCCAAAAUUUGGCUCGGCGGUGGUGUAAAAAAGAGAGAGCUCCCUCCCGCGAGCGACCGGGAGGCUAGCCCUAGCGCCGCCAUCGGGCCUCCCCCUCCCAUCCUUCCCUCCCUCAUCGCUGCCAGGGGGCACGGCCGGGCCAAGCCUCGCCGGUGUGGCCGUGGAGUUCUCGUAUUCUCACGCGGGGAUCUCGGGGCGGGCCGGGGCAUCCUCGCCUGGAUGUGGUGCUUCAUGUUGGGUGUGGCAGCACGGCAUCGGGACACGGCGUGUAGCGCCGCUGCCGGGACUGCGGUGUGACAGGCGGCAUCGAGGUGGUUCCUCCUUGGGACCUGUGGCGGCGGCGGCAUGACGCUGCGGCGCGUCCUGAUCCGGCGUAAAGGGUCACGACCAUGGUCGGCAUGUGUCAUGAGUUGGUGCUCCUAUCAUGGCUCUCUGCUGGUGGGGGUGGUGCGUGGCAGUUGUGGGCGUCAUCUUCUAACUCUACAUGCAGCUGGGGAGAGCGGGCUGGCACGGCUAAUGGGUGCCUGCUGGGACCCGGUCAGAUCCGCCCAGAUAUGGGCCUGGUCGCCGGAGGGUGCCCCCGGGGGCUGGCGUGGCGUAAAAGGUAGAAAAUGUUAAUUAUGUACAAGACAAAAGUUAAUCAUAUGUAAGAAAAAUGUUUGUGGCAAUUAAAAAAAGUCCCAUACUUAAAAGAAAAUGUACGUCACAUUUUCUCAAAUUUGAAAUGUUUCAAAAAUAUGUUCGUGUCAUUUUUUAGAAAAUGUCUGUACAUCAUACAUAAUUUUUUUCAUAGUUCAAGAAAUGUCUUUAUCAUUUCAAAAAUGUUUUAAUGUGUAUUUGAAAACUAUAUUCAAAACAUGUUCUGUAAAAUGUUAAAACAAUUGUAUUUUAUAUGUAUACGAAAAAUAUACAAUGCGUAUGAAAAAGUAUAAAUAUAUUGAAAAAACAAAAAACACAAAGAAACAAAAAGAAAAGCGAAGAAAUAAAAAACCUGAAAACCACAAGAAAGAAACAAAGAAAAGAAAAGUAUAAAGAAAAACUAAAGAAAAUCAUUGAAAAUCCCAAGAAAACAGAAAAUGUACUGAUAAAACUGAAGAACUGGUGAGAACACAAAGAAAAGCAAAGAAAAACCAAGUUUGUUAAUCUUUGAUAACAUAUGCAGUUCAUCUGCCUUUGCUAAAUGCAAUUUGAGGCAGUAGACGACCAUGGAAGCACAACGAUAUAAUGACAAUGCCCUUGGGAGGGAGAAGGACGCAAUGUGUCACCGUUGCCGAGUCCACCACAGACAAUCUUCACCUGUAAUCAUGACCCGGAGAGAAGAACCACAAUGAUGUUUUCAAGAGAAGAGAGGCACCCACGGCCGUCGCCGUCGUCGGCGCCAAGGCACAAAGCAUUCGCUCGGCAACUCACCCACGCCACCACAAGAUCUCUAGGAUAAGUGUGACGAGAACAGAACCCUAGAUCCAUAUCAGAGGAUCACCCAUGUGAGACAAAGAGCACACCCAAGCCACCCUCAGCUACACCUCCCGUCGCCCACACGACCCGGAAGGAGAAACAACAGCCCCGCGAUGUUGCUGUAGAGCAAACUAUAUGGACUGCCAUAUGGGGUCGCCGCCCAGGCAUCCCUGUCACAAGACAUCGUACACCACACACUUCACAACACACUCAACCACGGUAGGAAGAGCAGAGGCACACCAUCUACUCUCUACCCGGCAUCAGCCACCGAGUCUGUGUAACCGUCUCCACCACAGGACGUGCCCAUGCCUGCGUCCCCAGCCAGUCCCGGUGGACUGCCGGGGCACGCCACUCCUUGAUUGCCGAUGGCUGUAGGUAAACAAGCCCCAAGCCCUAGCCCAAGCAAGCUCGCAUGACGCCAUGUCUGUGGCGAUAGGCGUUGAUCUGCGCACUGACACAAUGAUAUCCCGACACCCACCACCGAGCACCACACCCGCGAGAAGAGCACGACCACCUCUCGCGAGCACCAUCUAGACUGGACGCAACCUUACCUACCUAGCGCACAAGCUCCGAUCUAUCUCGGGCCUAGAUCUAGGCCACUCGAGCACAAUCGCUAGGUCCUAGCCCAGUUGACGAGCGCGAUACGCACGCCAACGACUCAUACCCAGGAGACGGGAGGUCGCAACCGCCACACAAACCCCACCGCCGAGCGCCAAACAUCGUGUUGUGCCCACGCCAACGACCCAUGCAACCCACGCGAGCUACCACCACCGCGCCGACCCGAAGCACUGGGGAGACUGAGCCAGAGCCAACACCUACCAACGGAGGGAAGCCCUAGCCAGGGACCGCCACCACCGUCGCUGGGGAGCCCCGCGGCACCCAGGUGCUCGCACCCAGAUCCGGCCACACCAAAUCGACCCACCAAGGACGCGCAACGGACAUCCCUCCAAGCCUCCAUCAGGAGUCACCGUGGGCGCAUGGCAUGGGCGAGACCCUGUCGCCAACGCCCAUGUCCGCUCCGCCGCGCUCUAUCGCCUGUGCGCCACCACCUUUUGGAAACGCCUGCCGCGAUAGACCCACCAGCCGUGGGGAGAGGACAUACCGCCGUCGCUGACAACGACCAGGCUUUGCCUAGCGGUCACAAGGAGAAGGAAGAGGAGGGGCCCCCUUCCGGCGGCUAGGGCUGGCCAGCCUGGCCGCCCGCGGGAGCGACGCGGGUGCGGGUUCGGCGGCCAAUCGUAGUUGUUUGACCGACCCUCAUUUAACGUGAUCAAUCAUGUAUUAACGUAUUUUGUAAGAGAAAAGAAUGAUUCAUGUUAGUUUUGAUGCUAAAGGUGCAUCUACUUUAGGGCAGUCCCAGUGCAUUAUAUCUUAAUGUUGCUUCUACAACAAUCCUCAUUUAAUGUCUUUCCUGAGAGAAAAGUUAUUAAAAUAGUACAAUUACGAGUAGAAAAUUCAAUACAAAUCAAACCAUCAAGGGAGAAAAAAAUGCCACAUACAAUCAACAGUUAGUAAUAUAGUGACCGAGUGAAACUAUGGAUUCAAAGGGAUCGACUGAAAUUUCAAAGACAAAGAACGAUCUAAUAAUAUAAACUCUACCUGAUUGUCAGCAAUCAACCAGAGUCUUAGUGGCUACACCCAGUGGGUGCAUUGAUGAUGCCCUCACUGGAAAAAGUUUGCCACAUACAACUCAAAUGAUCAUAUAACCCGAGUGAAACCAUGAAUUUAAGAUAUUGGUUCUAGAUUUAAGAGUAAGGAAAUAAACUAACCUAUGAUUGCCAUCAAUCUGUGAGAGUCACUACUGGAAUUUACUUGUUUGCCAAGUGCCAAAAACACUCGGCAAAAGGCAAAAAACACUCGGCAAUACUUUUGCCGAGUGUUGUACUCGGCAACGCACAAUCAGCAAAGUCUUUGCCGAGUGGCAAACAUGGGUACUCGGCGAAGAAAAGCAACUUGACG
rnacentral:lncRNA from 1 species